AUCUACAGCUUCUCUGUACCAACAACUUCCACUCAGUGCAUACGUGAAGCCUUUCCUUAUUUCCACUAUGCAGCUUUCUCACUCUUAGGCCUGUCUUUGAGACUGACAAAAUGCCAGUCAUACUGGCUGACUCCCUUGCUGUAUAGCAAGAUCAAGAAAAGCCUCUGCUUUUUCCUUUGGUUGGUCUUUAUUUCCAUGUUGCAAAUUGGAGAACAAGAAGUCUGAGGAAGAGGUAUGGGUCUCUCAAAAAGCUAAUUCCUCAGAUGUGCUCCUGAAGAUAGUGCUAACAGAUGGAACUGAGCUAUCAACACCAAGUGACAACAAUGUCUGAUCUUAUUUUAUAUCCUCAAAUUAUACAAAAGAAGAGAAAGCAGAGAACAAAAAAGUGAUUUCACUUUAAGAACGAAACCCAUGGCUAAAAAUAACUUGAAAUUCAUCGAUUUUGUACAAAUCCUUUACUUUACAGGCAUGCAUGUGCAAAAUGUUGCUAAUUAUAUACCUCAAAAUGGAACUGAUGUCUCAGAGGAUAUAUAAAUCUCAAACAAAAAAGCGUUCUCCUAAGAAGCCGAAGGAGAGAAAGGUUUAUUGGCUGGACUCUGGCCCAGCACUUGCUCGCUCAGUAAAAGAAGAAAUGGAGGAUGCCUUAUAACCAGAGUCAAGAGUAAAAAAUCCCUUCCCACCAACACUUGGAGUCUUACAUGAAACUGGAGACAAACAUCCCCCUUUCUCUUCUUUCAUGUUUCAUGUUACUUACUUUUACUAAUAUAAUUCAGGUACCAUAUCUCCUAAAUCUCAUGUUUAUCCUAUGUAUUAACCUCAUAGGUCUAAAGAGCAAAGUAUAAAAUUCAAGUUGUUUAAUAAUAUUCAUUUGUCAUAAGAACCAACAAUUGGAUGAACAGUCCACAACACAGUAGAGUAGAUAACAGAGAGAAAACUCUUGGACAGCAAGCUCCAGGGCUGUAAUCAAAGAGGACAUCCUCCAACAGCCCACAGGGACUAUGAUUCCAGACCAUUUCCUAUGGAAAAAGAUUCAGAAGGAGUAAAUAAGAAGGCAAGCUGCUAAAACCACUGGACAACAGACACAAUGAAACUGUAGAACAAUAACUGUGGCCUUAGAACCAGGCAGAGGCUGAGUUAUUGGGACCAUGUUUUCUGUCUCCAGUAAUAUGCCAGAUAUCAGCUGGGCCACCAUGAUUUUGCCAGUAAAAUGGACAUAAUGUAAGAAUCUGGAGGGUUGUAGUGAAGAUGAAAUAGGUUGAAAUAAGAUUAAAUGCCAUGUAAUCAGUGGAUACUGCCUGUUUCUUAUCCUUAUUUUGUAUCUAAACACAUAGUAGGAUCUUAGUUAAUACUUGGGAAAUAAGUGCCAUCAUUUCAAAUAUAUUCACUGAACCUCACUGUGACAUCUUUUUUUCUUUUUAUAAUCUACACACAAUUUAGCAACAUACACAGCAGGUAUUGUACAAUUAGUUACAUUUUCUGGCUUCAUACAUUUUAUAAAUGUGAUUGCCACCAUUCCACCCACCACUACCGCCACUGGGUUCCUUAGUGUUAUUCUUGUCAUCUUGUUAGUAAGAGAAUAUAGUGGACAAGCAAGAGGGAGUUUAAAAGGGCAUUUUUUUUUUUUCCAAAGGAAGAGAGGCUGGAGGAGAUGGAUUUAAAUAAAAUUGACUCAUAUGCAUGCCCUUGUGUUUUGUUUAAUAAUCCUUUGACAUAUGACUUACAUGAAACAAAAUUACGCUGUACUAAAAUGUGUUUACAGCUAUGAAGGGAGCAAAUGUGUCUGGAAGUAGUGUAAUAAUUUUAGAAGUGAAGGGAGUUAAUGACUAAAGAACAUGUUUGGUUUUCUUUGUAUCAUAAGGAAAUUUCAGGGCCCUUAAAAAAAUGUGACUGACCAUUUGAGCCAUUUAAAAUCACAUGGACUUUUAGAUUAAAAAAAUAUAGAAGGAAUAAGAUAUAU